CCCCCGCCCCGCCCCUCCACCCCGAUAUCUUCCACCACCACCACCCCUCGGCGAGGAGUAAGUGCCACCGCUCCGCCUUCUCCUUUUCGCAAUGUUGACGCAAUCUAUAAAUAGUGGAACAAAAGGACCAACUUCCUCGCAGCUUUGCUGAAACUGCACAAAAAAGGCAACCGGGGGGGGGACGGGACACACACGGUUAUUUUUUAUUUUAUUUUUCUCCGGUUAAAAGGCGAAUCCUCCCCCUCCCCCCGCUACUGGAAGAUUAUUUUUUUUUUCCUCGCUGCCUCCUAUGCUAGCAACGUCCUGCGAGUGGCUAUUUUGCUUUUGCACCGAGAGAAGGGCUUCCCCCUCCCUCCUCUUCUGACACUUAUGGAUGAAAUUCACACACUGAUGUCUAACCUCUAAAGAAAGCUGAUGUUUUGACCUUUCAAUAGAGAGCUGAUUUUGGAGAACGGCUUACUCCUGUGAUUGAAAAACUCUCUCUGGAAGGUUGAUGGAGCGUGAGCAUGGUCUGAUCAGCAACUCCAGUGCAAUUUGAAAAUAUGUAAUCUGCUGGCAGUGAUGUGCCCAACCUUAAUUGGUACUGGAGCCUUUGGAAGAGAGAUUCUGUCAUCGCACAGUAUAUAGUCCAACAAUGACUGACCUUGAUGAAUCUGUGAAGGAAGAAAAUAGUUUUCUCAUCUCUUAUUUUUCAAAAUGAAUUAAAAAAAAAAGGGGGGGACGUGGAAUUUAACCACUGAAGUUGUUAGAUUCUCUGGGUAGGUUUUUGGUUUGAGGUGGGGUACAUGCUGAGAAAUUAGUGAUAAUCAGGUACAGUGAUAAAGAGGUCUUAAUCACAGGCAUCAACUCUUCAUUUUGAGAAUGCAAAUACUUUUACCAAAUCUAGCUGCAUUACUCAAGCAUACAUGUAAGCUUUUAAGGAACUGAAUCUUUAGCCUUUUGCAGGUUAAGACACUACCAAUUUAAGAAUAAGCAUUUUCAUGCAAACAUGACUGGUCUCCUUUUUUUAUUUUUUACCAGCUUGAUUUCUUGCCCUAAAUCAAAGAGAUAAAUUUUGUUGUUAAGUUAGUGUUAAGGCUGUCUUCAGAAUUUUGUUUAUUUGAACAAAGCAAGAAAAAAUGUGUAAGUACAAGCAGUGUGCAGACCAAUAUUGCAGUAUUGGUCUGUUCUGUCUUUAAGCAGGUGGUUUCAUGUGGCAGGCUGGAAGAGAGACUCUUUUUCUUCCCAGCUUUUGACAAAAAGAUGACGCAUAUGACUCAAAAUUAGAAGGGGAAAUCUGCCAGUUUGCAUCAGUUCCUUAACUUGUGGGCUGCUAUUCACCACAAGGAAAAUCAGUAUACUUGCACCAGUGCUUCUUGAGAGAUGAGAAGUGAUCAUUUCUUUCAGAAAGUGUAGGAUGAUUGGAGUAGGCCUUUCACAUGUUACACUAGGCUUUUCCUAUAAUAAGAUAUUUUUCGAUUAUAUUAAAUGUUUAGAAAGAAAAAAACCAAAUACUGUUCUUAAAUGCUACAUUUAAUGUUUAAAAUAGGAAUCAGAUAUGUUAUAACUUCCUGCAGAGUAAAAGCGAAGGAAUCUGCUUCCUUUUGAAAAUGUAAAACUUCGUUUUGCUGCCACUGAAACUCAAAAACUAUUGUAGAUCUCCACAGUUGAAAGGUAAGUUUUUUAAAAUUUUAACCUAAUUCCACAUAUCUGAAUCUCCAGUUCCAGCUUUUAAGUAAGUUAGUAGGACAGUUCAAAAUUACCAUAUUUAAUUUUUUUUUAAGGCAGAAGCCAUCUGUUAUGCAGUGAAAAAUAAUUACUUGGAAGUAAGGAAGGUCUGAUUUUCAAAAUGUUAUGCUUUUAGAGCUGCUAAAAAAGAUAAUGAACUUGGUGAUAAGUCCUAUUCUUUCAUGUAGGUUUGGGUUACGAUGGAGAGAAAUUUCUUGCAAUACUGAUAGUCGCUUAAAGAACAUACUGUCAACUAGCCUUUUAUUUAAAAAGAAAAAAAAAGUCAAAUACUACUGGUUCAGAGAUUAGCGUCUUGGUUUUGAUUUGUGGAUAUUUACUAGACAGUGUGUUAGGGCUGAGAGUACAAUUUUGAUUUUGGGGUUUUUUUGACUACUUCUGUGCUUUAGGUAUUGGAUUAUAAAUCUCUCUUCGUAUAUUAACUUCUAGUUAAUUCAACAUGGUUUUACUUUAAGCUUGCUAGUGAAAUAUUGAAAAUCUAGCUUAAUAUAAAGCCAUAAGAGGCACUCUGCAUCCUUAUGGGUUGGGUUCCCCCCACCCCCCCCUCCAGUGGAUAAAGUUCCUUUCAUUUGGCAGAGCUAUUGUUGUUGUUUUGAAAAAGCAUAUCCUAAGUGAAAUUCAUUUUCUAGCUGGAAAAAUGAACUUCACUGCUUAGCAAUCUGUGUCAGCCCUAGAAAACACUGUUUUAUUUUGCAUUACCUCCAUUCUGUGAGUAGUGGAUCUCACUGAUGGGGAAACGGAGAACUAACCCAUAAACAUUUUGGAAAGGGAGUAUACACGUCUGUGUUAGAUGGUAUCUUUUCUAUUAAUAUUUCACAGAGGGGUAGGGAGAGGAUUAAAGCAGCCUUCUGAGUUGCUGCUCCUGCAUAUUUCCUCAGCUACCGUUGAAUAAACAAUAAUCAAAGUAGAUAAUGUGACUAGGAAUCUACACCAUAAAGGUGUUAAGGACACCUGAAACUUCUGCUGAAGCAACUAAUUAAAUAAUGAAGUUGUAGAAAUACAGCUAAGGAUUGGAAAAGCUACAGCAAUUACUAGGAGGUGUUGCUCUGCUCUUAACAGUGGAUUAACUAGUGCAUUCCCUUAACAGUUGACUUGAUUUCUGCUAGCAGUUGUUUCACCUUUCCUAAGCCAUACAGUUGUCUGGCAUUUUAUAGAAGUCAUGUAGGGAUGAUGUCAAGGAAAAGACAAAUUUACUGUCUGAGCCAGAAGGCAGGCUUACAAAAAGCAACUUCUUUCAGGACACGAAAAGCUCUUUGUUCUGUGGCCUUGGUCUUUUUGUGCUUUGACCCUUAUUUUAUAGCAUUGUCACUCUGACCCUAAAUCUUUGGAAGCAAACGUGCAGCAAAUUUAGCCCUUCACAAGUGGGAUUGCAUUCUGAGCUAUGGGCCUGGUUUUUGUCUUUAGGCAUUAUAAUUCUAUACGGUGCUGAGAUGUAACAAAAUCAAAAUGUAAGAUUUGUGGGUUUGUGUAGUGCAAGUAGUAUUAUUUACAUAUCAGGCCAAAUUAUUUUUUAAUAUAUUGCUGUAUUAUUGUCCUAUGAUUUAUUAUUAUUUACCAAAUUCAGAUAAGAUAACAACUAGGAAGGCAGUCUGGUUAACGCUGACUAAUGUAUUUUCCACUUCCCCAGCAGUACUUUGGAAACUGAUCCUGUGCACAGGCCACCAGGGUUCCUGCAAAAUACUACCUGAGUAUUAAAGUACUGUGUAAGAACAAGAAAUGCUUUGCAAUACGUUAUAGAGUUAGAAGAUUUAAACAGCAAUAGCAUGGCUUUCUUCCUUAAAAGACUGGGUGCCAGCUUAGGAGAGCAUAAAAUUUUACACUAGGUCUGUGACUGCUUCCUGGGCUAAAUGAGCAAGUCUUCUGAACUUAAUAAAACUAACAUUUUUUUUUUUCUUUUUAAAAAUCGCUUAAAAAGCUAGAAAUGAAUGUAAAGAACAGAAAACUAAUACUUGGCUGGUAUGUUUUGAAUAUUUUUAUUUAUAUUUUUUAAGAAUGAUAUAUUUAAGAGGGGAACCUGUUUCCCUAUCUUAAUAACUUUCCAUUAUAUAGCUGGUUUGUAUUGUGUGGUGGUAUCAUUUGGAGAAAGGUUGUUCCAUUUUCUCAUUUACCAGCAAUGAUUCUGUAUACUUCAGGUUUUGUAAACUUGAACUAUAAUCACAGGAUAAUCUUUUUUGAAGGUAAUGGUGUAAUAAUCUAAGGAUUUGUUUAUUGGAGAACUUGAAAAAAUGUAUCUUUAUCUUUUUAGGUUUUUAAUCUGAAAAGGUGUUACAGAAUUUUUAAAAAAAUAAUAAUAUAGAAAUUGUAGUUGUAUUUUAAGGCAGACCUGGCUUUCUUUUUGGUAGAUCCACUAGACUGAGUAUUAAUAUUUUUUUGUGGUAAAAUUGAGGGAAAGGCACAUUUUAGUGAAGGCUACAAUGAAAUAUAAUACUUACUUCAUAGAACUUAGAAAAUAGCUUAUUCGUUUUUCUUAAUUUUGUAUGUGUCCUUUCAAGCAGAAAGAAUGCUGGUACAGAUUGAAAGUGUUCACACAGUUUUCUUCCUGUGUGUGUGCCAGAGGUGCGGGGAAGACAGAUUUUUAAAAGUUGUGUGCAAGCUAUACCGGCGCAAUUGAGAGGGUUCUGGAACGCUUUUCUGAAACAGAAAUUUUAUAAACUCUGUUAGAACCCCAGAGCUUGUUACACUUCACAAGUUCCCUGUAAAGUAUUUCAUUUAGCAGUCUAGUUAAUGCAUCAACAUCUGACAAAACACUCUUUAGAAGCUGGGAAAAGAGGUGGGAGGAGUUAGUCUUAUUCAAUUUUAUUUUUAAGCUAGAGUUGAUAUUAAAUAUACUGAUGAUAUACUAAAAUAUACAUUGAUAAUAUUUCUGUGUUGUAUCAGCUUCCUUUAGUUCUGCUUUUUUAGCUAGCAAGCUAGAAAAACUGUUUGACAUCCUUUAUUUGUUCAGGCUAGAACUUGCUACCUUUUAGUAUUUUGCCUUCCACACAAAUCCACUGCAUUUUGGUUGCUAUUCAUCACUCCAAUAGAAGCAUCAAUAUUGCAGUACCAAAUGACUGUCUUCACUUUGGUUUGUUUUCAUGACUGCAAUGGGGAGGAGAGGGAAAAAAAAAAAAACCAAAGUGCAGCUCAUACAACUGAAUAUGUGAGUCAGGCUAGUAUAAGCAGUGGUUAGAGUGCUGAGAUAAAGCAAAAAGGAUGUAAAAAUUGAAUUUUAUGCCGGUAGGCCAUAACUGCACUUCCAAAUUUCCAGGUAUUUUUAUACUUCUGAAUUUUUUAAUGGUUCUACUUCCUGGGUUUUAUUUUUAGCUGGCUUUGUUAUUUUAUGUUUAUCUUUUGUACGAGUUCUCCAGCUAAUCUAAAUAUGUUUGUCCAUGUUCCUGAGAGAGGUGGCUGGACACAUGAGAUAGAUUCUCCAAAUUUAGUAACAGUAGAUUUCAGUAAUCAACAGUUACCUGCUUAACUUUCAUUAUUAAUAUUUUACAUUGCAAACAACUUCUGUAGUUUCCCCAGUCUUUUGCCCUGGUUAUAUGGGGAAAAUUGUUGACAUGAUUGGGAAAUAGUUAACAGACAAUCCCUUUUUAAACAAAACUUCUACACUCAAGCUUACCCAUAAUUUACAACCAAAACUCCAGAUUAGUGCUAGUUAUCUCUGUUCGAAUACUCAUCUUUCUGUUCAGAAAAUUAUCCAAAGCAUUAAUUGUGACUUUUUAACACAAAUUGAUAAUAGUCUUAGAAAUGUUCAGCUGCUUGGUAGGAGGUAUGGGAAGAUCUCUUAUACAUGGAGACUGUGCAUAAGCUCAAUCCUGAAUGACUGGUUUUUGAGGUGAAGUGGGGCUAAUUUAUUGCUGGAUUACAGUCAUUUCAUUUAAAAAAAACAAAACAAAACAAAAAACAACCACAAGUCAGCAACAACAACAAAAACCCAAAACACCAAACCUAGCACAGAAUUACUAGGUUAGAGACAGAUUGUUUUUUAGAAUUGCAGUCUUAAACAUGAGUUCAAAAUCUUACUGUUAUUUCAGGAGAAUAUUUUUUAGGGUGUAUAGUUUAUUCUCUUAAUUCUUCUUCCUCUAUGACCACAAAGUAGCCUCAAAUAAGUUAAGUGAAUUAACUGAGUAUCAUAGGUUAUAUCUGAACAAAAUAGUAAUGCAAUAGUAGCCAAGUAAACUGAUACCUUUAAAGUAAUACCUUGGAAUAUUUCACUCAACUCUUUUCUCCUUUUUAAAAUAUGUGCACAUCACUUUAAAGACUGCUGACACUGAGAAUUAGGAAGAAUGAGGGUUCCUUAACAGAAGCAACAAGAAGGCAGGAGUAAAAGACUGUACUUCUAAAUGUAAGUUUUAAGAAUGAGCAAGUUAUAAAUUCCAGUGUGUUGGCAGUAUAAAUAUUACAGCGUUGAGUAAGCAUAUGACAAAAAUGAAGUGAAACUACUAUUGUUUAAACUGGUGGGGGUGGGGAAGUAAGCAGUGUAUUAUCAAAAAUACAGCUACAGAUCUUACAAUUUUGAUGUUUGAGAAUAGAAUUGUUUAGAUUUCUUAAUAGUGAAAUGAUACUAUCUCUUAAUUCUCUUUUGUCCAGAUGAAUUUAGUGGGGGAAAAAAAAUAUUUGCAGCAAGAGGUGAACUGUUAGUGUGUUUAUUCCUAUUGGAUGGUGAACCAGCAGUUGUCAAGAAAGCUGUCGCUGCAAAAUGUCCUGUCUACCAUAUGAAGGAAUCCUUCAUUGAGAUGAUUGAAAUCUCUACAGUGAGAAUGGAAAUUAAUUGGGCUCCUUUCCUUUUAAAAGCUGCAUGCAAGAACUGUGCGGUGAGUCAAAUGUAGACUAAUGGUUAUGUAAAUGUCACUAAUUUUAGAUACAGUCCAGAUCUGAAAGUGUGUUUCCUUUUAAGAUUUUAUUUUCUUCACUAUCAUGACUCAGUAUCACUUGCUAAUCUCAUUUUAUUAGCCCUGGUAUAUUUUACCAUUAAAAUGCACAUGCCUUCUUCAAGUAAGUGCUCAUAGAUUUAAGUUUAUACAUCUUAUAGAUGUUUUAAAAGGCAAAAAAAAAAAGCUUAUCUGCACUGGGGGGUUGUUUUGACUUCAGGCUUCACAGGCCUGCUACUGGUGUAGUUGCACAAGUAUAAACAUGAUGUAGAUAAAUAUUAAUCCAACAUAUGAUAAUUCAUAAAUCUGCAUUAUUUGACUGCAUAGAAUUUCAGCCUGGGGUAUGUGCUGUUAAAAAUCCCACUUUUCUUGUCUGCCCCUGCUGUGGAUUUGAACUGGUGAAAUUACUGAUGGCUAACAUUUCCAGUUUGGUUCAAACCUGAGCAGUUCUCAAUAGUAAAGCUAUGCAGUAUUAGCUAGCCUGCACCUUUCCAUGAAGUAAACGCUUCUGUGUCUACAUUUACCUACUACAGGUCUCUUAAGAUAUGUGGCCAAAAUGAGGUUGACUGCUCAGAAAAAAUGUGCUAUCUGGCUCAAAGUCAGAGCUUUCUCACUGAGGUUUCUUUAAGUAGCACUGUGUUGUAUUUCCAUAUCUACAACUGCUUUAUACUAAAGACUUGCAUAUGCAUUUCAGCCAUUUGAAACUUGGACAUGCUUGGAAAGACCAGACUCUGUGGGUUACAACAAAAAAAGACAUUCUUAUUCCACUGUUCUCCUCCCUUUAAAUGUCACUGAUUUUUGUUAGCAUGCUGCAGACUACAGUGCUUGCAGAGGGCCAUCCAUCCUGUUACUCUUGUAAAUAGAGUAUUUUAAUGCAUCUAGGCUUUUAUGAGUAAGUGUGAAUCUAAAGAGCUGAUCAGAAAGAUUUGAGAGCAUGCAACAAGUAAGUCGAUUUGCAUGGCUUUGUCAAAGUCUAGUGGCCAAACCGUUUGUUCCCAACUACUUCGUUGUGCCAGUGCAGUCUUUUGUGUGAGUAGUGAAACAGACUGCUUCCUUCUGGUUCCUUGUGCAAGCACCUAGAGCUGGCAUAAGGGAGGAGGUGGCAGGGAGUGGGACAAAGCAGAAGGGGAAAGGUUGGACUGCCUUGCUUGGUGGCCUGAGCAGCUUAGAACAGUUCAGUGAUGUGAUAAAAAUACCAUUUGAGCAUUUGCAGAACCAGAGCUGAACUGAGGAACCAAAGUUCCUGUCUGAAUUAAGAAGAUGACUUCGAGUUCUUAUGAAGGCUUGGUCAAAUUAUUCAGUUCCUAAACCUUUGAAAAGAAUGUCGUAUUUCUUGCAUGGUUUUCACUUGCCUUAAAUAAUAUUAGCAAUUGUGUUUUCCAGAGGUUUACUUGCAUGGGCGGUGCCAUGGCCCAUGGCUGAAUGGAACUCCCUCUACAUUGCAGCUCUGGGGUCCUAAGGUUUGUGCCUGAUGUAAGAAAGGGAAGCUUGCUUUUUCCUGUUCAGGUGCUUAUUUUCUGCUAAGCUGAGGAACUGUAUGGGGAAAAAGAUGCUUAAAUCGUAUAAAAGGGAAAGAAAAGAUAGGCCUGUAUGAAAAUAAUCUGACACUAGUAGCUGUAUAGGAGUGAAGACAACUAGCGAGAGGAGCAUGUCUAAGAAAAUCCAGUGUUGGAGCUGAGAACUGACAGCGGAAGGACAGAUCUGAUGAACUGGAAGGUUGGAAAGGAGUGGGACAGGUUGGGUAAGUAUUGCGGGGUUUUGUUUGUUUCUUGAAAUUGGAAGAAGCAACAGCCUGACAGAAGGGAUCUGGCCUGAGGCAAAAAGAAUGAGUCAGGCUUGGGGAAAGGGGCUUGCACACCUCAGAUCAUUCCUAAUAUUCACUAGAGCACUCUGCACUUCAGAUCCAGAAGGGAAUGCAGACUGUUAAGUAGUGGCUUUUGCUGUAAUCUGUGAAAUCACUUUUAAUUUUAUCCCCCUCAUUGUAUUCCCCGCAGAAGAGGGCAGUCUUAUUAGUGCUCUCUGCUACUUCAUUAAUUUUGGUCCUGAAAAAGAAUUCCAAAAUAUCAGAGUAGUUGAGGUUGGAAGGAGAGUUCUAGAGGUAGUCUAGUUCAGACAGGGUCAGGCAGAGCACAUUUCUUGGACUGUAUCUAGUGAGGUUUUGAAUAUCUUCAAGGAUGGAGACUCUGCAACCUGUCCUGUUCAGAUAGCAUUUCUUGCGUUUCAUUUUGUGCCUGUUGGCUUCUGUCGUGUCACUGGACAGAACUGAGCCUGGCCGUGUUGUCUUUACUCUCCACUGGCCCCAUCAGCAGGUAUUUAUAAACUUCAGUAAGAUCACACAUACACAAGUUGUUUGUUUUUUUUCUCCAGGCUGGAGUCCCAGCUUUCUCAGCCUUUCUUCAUGUGAAAGGUGCUUCAGUUCUCUCAUCAUCUUUGUGGAAGUAAAUAACAUGUUUCAACUAAUAUGGGAAUUGGAGCUCAAAGGGGGAAAUGCUUUGGGGGGGAAAAAUAAAACACAGUCUUAUAACUUAACUGUAAAAAAACAUGAAGAUCACAAACCAAAACACUAUUCAGUUAGAUAGAUGAGAGAACUCCUGCUUUAAGAUUCUGCAAUCUUCACUUGCCCCCUUGUGUUAGUGUACUAUGAAGCAAUCUUCAUGGUCAUACAGAACAUGUCAUCUAAUGAUAGGAUUGGCCUGGUGUGGUGCUGAGCCAGGGAAGAUGUUUGUGGGCUGUGCAAGCAAGAAGCUUGAUGCUGCUACAGGUGCUACACAAAUUAAUUGGUAAAAAAUUCUGUAGGCAAUGGAACAAAAGACUGCAAGUAGAGAAAACCAUGGUCUUCAUGGUUAUGUCAAAUGAGAAUUCCUAGCCAGAAGUGAUGUUUAUUUUUCUGCCCUUAGUCUCAUAUGAUGCUAAACAAGUUACAGGCCAUUGUUUUUGCAGUACUUGUACUCCUCACUUCAGAGGUGUCUGACUUGUGUCUGACAGAAACACUGGCUGUUAACAUUUACAGCUGAGCUUCUUAGGAGUUGUCAUUUGAAUUAAAAUACUAUGUAUUGUUAUGUCUGUUGACAGUCUCCUGUCUUAAACAGGGUAACUUAAACUGUUGCAUACUACUAUAAUUUCUACAUCUCCAUGUCAUAUUAAAAAUAGAGGUAAUAGACACUUAACCUUGAAGGGGUGUUGGGUUUUUUUGUUCAAAAAACCCCCACAUUUGUUUAGUAAGUGUACUACAGUAAUGCAUUUCCUCAUGGAAUUUUCUAUGGCAUUUAUUAAUUCUGAUCUCAGAGGAAGAAGUGAGUAUUGUGCAUCUUUUAAAGACCAGAUCUACAAUCAGCUUUCCUUGUUACCAGCUCAAGCUGAGAAACCUGAGUUUCAGUGUUGUUGAUUCAUGACCUGUUUUGACCAGUCCUGUAAACUCCAAAGUACUCCUGAUUUGGUCUUAUUUUGUCACCGAUUCAUUUUGCAUAUAUAGCUAUUAUUAUUAAACACUUGUUUGUCCCAUUUUUGGAAUGUGGUUUCAUGAGUAACACUUUCAAUAUUCUGCAAAAUCUUUUAUACACUAAAGGUAACGCUUAUGUUUGAACUUCAGCAUAUUUUACAGUAAUUUACCUGUAAAGAUUUAUGUUGCAGGAAGAAUGUACUAGUUAAAUUGUAACACUUAAUUUCUUAUGUACAGUGGUAAACAGUGCACCUUGAAAAAUGUAAAGUGACUUGCACCUAUGUAUUUAGGGCUAAUACAGGCCAAAUUCCAAAGCAGUUCUUCAAAUUCCAAAGCAGUUUUCUUGGUACCGCAUAUGGCACACUUCACUGAGUGAGAGUGGUUCUGUACUUGGUAUUUAGGUAUAGAGACCUGAAAAUGUUUCAGAUUUUCUUUUAAUCAUGUUAUCUUGUUAUGUAUUGAGGGAAGUCUCUCCUAAUCAGGUAGCAAUACUAGCAGUAAUGAAUGAAGUUUGAAAUGUUAGACUCCCUUUAUGUUCUUCAUCACCACCUCCUGCCACAGAAGUCAGAAGAAAUGAUUGGUAGAAAUAUUGUGAGCUACUAUUUUACCAGUUUAAUUUGAAGCAGAGCAGCAAUUCUUUUGAACAAACAAAAAGUUUCAAAUGUGUUUGAAGGAAAACUUAGGUCUGAGAUGUAUAUGAAUCUCCUUUCUAAGUGUGUAUCAGAAGAAAACGUUCAACUAUAAACACAAAUAAAAAAAUUAUGGAGAAAA